rnacentral:lncRNA from 1 species
CGGUUGCCUGACAUCUCCACUAGAGGAUGAGAGAUCCCGCAGAGUCUCUCCUGCUAUAUCGCAUCUGAAUCUCCUCUAACAUUAUGGGUGAACACUCCUGACAUCAGUCCUGUAUUCAUCCAGAAGAAACACUUUAAUGGGAGGCAGUAAAGUGUCAGGACCAAGAUCAUGGUCUCUAGAAUCCAACUGCCUGGGUUUGAAUCCCAACUCUGUCACUACCAGCUGCGUAACCUCAGACAAUUGCCCCAGAUGUUCUGUGCCUCAGUUUUCUCAUCAGCAAAAUGAGGAUAAUGAAAGUGGAUCCUUCAGGAGGCUCUGUGGAGACUAAAUAAAAUAAUAUAUGCAAGAUUGAAGACUAGUAUCUGACACAGAGGAAGUUUUCAAUGAACCGCUAUGCUAAGGAUGAGAGGAGAAGAGGAAUUCAUUUACUCCUGGAGAGGAGGUAGAUGGGAGAUGGACAGGGAUUCAGAGAGAGGGAACCCAAGUGACAGCAGAAGCUUCUCCUGAAAUGUGAUGCUGCUCCCAAGAUUCCCCAAGCGAACUCAUGCAGGUGUAUUUAUUAGGGAAAACAUUAGAGGUGGAUGCCAGGUAAACCAGGGAAAGUGCACGAAGACGGAAGUAGAAGGCGGAAGGGUCCCAGGGGAGAGGAAGAAACUGAGGCCUGAAGGUAACAGAGCAUCAGAGGCAGCUCUAGAAUCCUGAGCUCCCAGGACCUGUCCAGCCCAGGGCUUCUCUCCUAACGUUGGAAAUGUAGGGCAUGCUGAGGAAUACCUACAAUCGGGUCCCCACGCCAUCCUUGCUGCCUGUUCCUGCAACCCCAGCAGAGACUGGACCAACUGGGAAACCAUCUGCCCAGAGAACACUGACUCCACUAAAAACACAGCCACCCUCAUGCCAUGGCAGAACCAUCAAUGUGUGUUUCUUCUGAAUCCCAAGUCCAGAGGAAUUGUCUCAAAUGGCACAUAUUAGAACCCUAUCUCAGAGGUUGACAGCAGACUACAGAAGAGGUUUUAGCUCACUCAGCCUCACGAUGAGCGAGCCAUUACUUCUGCUUGAAAUGCUAACUAGUUCCCAAGUCUAU